AUUGAACGCUGGCGGUAUGCUUAACACAUGCAAGUCGAACGAUGAGAAAGAGCUUGCUCUUUCGAUUAGUGGCGGACGGGUGCGUAACGCGUAGGAAUCUACCUAUUAGUGGGGGACAACUUAGGGAAACUUAAGCUAAUACCGCAUACGCCCUACGGGGGAAAGAAGGGGAUCGCAAGACCUUUUGCUAAUAGAUGAGCCUGCGUAGGAUUAGCUAGUUGGUGGGGUAAAAGCUCACCAAGGCGACGAUCCUUAACUGGUUUGAGAGAAUGAUCAGUCACACUGGAACUGAGACACGGUCCAGACUCCUACGGGAGGCAGCAGUGGGGAAUCUUGGACAAUGGGGGAAACCCUGAUCCAGCGAUACCGCGUGUGUGAAGAAGGCCUUCGGGUUGUAAAGCACUUUAGGUGGGGAAGAAAGGUGCGAGAGGAAUAUUUUCGUACUGUGACGGUACCCACAGAAUAAGCACCGGCUAACUCUGUGCCAGCAGCCGCCGUAACAC
rnacentral:rRNA from 1 species